rnacentral:rRNA from 1 species
AGAGUUUGAUCCUGGCUCAGGACGAACGCUGGCGGCGUGCUUAACACAUGCAAGUCGAACGGGAAGAGAUAAAGAGCUUGCUCUUUAUCAAAUCCAGUGGCAAACGGGUGAGUAACACGUAAACAACCUGCCUUCAGGAUGGGGACAACAGACGGAAACGACUGCUAAUACCGAAUACGUUCCACGGGCCGCAUGACCUGUGGAAGAAAGGGUGGCCUCUACCUGUAAGCUAUCGCCUGAAGAGGGGUUUGCGUCUGAUUAGGCAGUUGGUGGGGUAACGGCCCACCAAACCAACGAUCAGUAGCCGGUCUGAGAGGAUGAACGGCCACACUGGAACUGAGACACGGUCCAGACUCCUACGGGAGGCAGCAGUGGGGAAUCUUCCGCAAUGGACGAAAGUCUGACGGAGCAACGCCGCGUGAGUGAAGACGGCCUUCGGGUUGUAAAACUCUGUGAUCCGGGACGAAAGAGCCUGAGGUGAAUAACCUAAGGAAGUGACGGUACCGGAAAAGCAAGCCACGGCUAACUACGUGCCAGCAGCCGCGGUAAUACGUAGGUGGCAAGCGUUGUCCGGAAUUAUUGGGCGUAAAGCGCGCGCAGGCGGCUUCCUAAGUCCAUCUUAAAAGUGCGGGGCUUAACCCCGUGAGGGGAUGGAAACUGGGAAGCUGGAGUAUCGGAGAGGAAAGUGGAAUUCCUAGUGUAGCGGUGAAAUGCGUAGAGAUUAGGAAGAACACCGGUGGCGAAGGCGACUUUCUGGACGAAAACUGACGCUGAGGCGCGAAAGCGUGGGGAGCAAACAGGAUUAGAUACCCUGGUAGUCCACGCCGUAAACGAUGGAUACUAGGUGUAGGAGGUAUCGACCCCUUCUGUGCCGGAGUUAACGCAAUAAGUAUCCCGCCUGGGAAGUACGAUCGCAAGAUUAAAACUCAAAGGAAUUGACGGGGGCCCGCACAAGCGGUGGAGUAUGUGGUUUAAUUCGACGCAACGCGAAGAACCUUACCAGGUCUUGACAUUGAUCGCAAUUUUCAGAAAUGAGAAGUUCUCCUUCGGGAGACGAGAAAACAGGUGGUGCACGGCUGUCGUCAGCUCGUGUCGUGAGAUGUUGGGUUAAGUCCCGCAACGAGCGCAACCC